GGGGGGGGGGGGGGCUUCAAUAGAAGAGGUGACUUUAAGGGAUACAACUACUCGAGUACCCGAACGGUCUUUCGCGCGUCUGUUGUUUGCAAGCUCCGGAAGUCUAGAGCAAGACAACAAUUUGCAGCAGCUAUAACCCAUUAGAACGUUUACUUCACCUCUACCCUAUCCUAAGCUGGAGGUUAUUAUUUUUAAAAGAACCUUCAAAUCUGAGCACUUCUCACUAAUAAAACACUCAUUGAUUGCCAUGUGA
rnacentral:lncRNA from 1 species